AGCCGAUGCUGAUGACUACAGCGUGACUAGAUCACUAGAGGCAUACAUGUUGUGGUUGUUUGGGUACAUCAUGUUCAACAACUCAUACGGCCACUGUGUGGAUAGGGUGCUUGUGCCCUACGCACAGGAGAUCGCCGAUGCAGAUGAGGAUGCCAUACCCUUGUAUAGUUGGGGUUCAGCGGUUCUUGCAUGCACAUAUCGUGGACUCUGUAAGGCAUCUCGGCAGAAUGAUCGCAAUACUGUCCUAACGGGGUGCCCAAUUCUACUACAGCUUUGGUAUUACGAGAGUGUUACUACACCAGCUGCAGGGACUUUAGGAUCACAAUAGUUCACCGGAGCGGGGCCUUCUUCGUAUCAUCGUAUGCCGCCACCAGGAGGAUAUCAAGGAGUUUAUUCCUAUCCACCACCACCACCACCACCUCCAACACAGGGGUGGUCUCAAGACAACGACGAGGCCUCCUUCGACGACUUUACACGGUUGUUUGUUACGCCUGCCCAGGACGAUGAUCCCAGCUUGCAUACACCUCUGGCUCAGUUACGCCGUCCUGCCAGAGACGUGAGGCUACCGGACCAUCAUAGCUACACUACAGAUCAUGUAGACGCACAACGUAAAAGAGGUCGGCACGGUAGGGGUGGUUAGUUGUUGCCACUUGUUUCUCUAUUGUUAUUAUGGACAUGUCGUCUUGGUUUUCAUAUUUUGUACUCAAACUUCGUUUAUGCUACCUUGCAAUGCAAGCACACUUUUGUAGUACCAAUGAACUGUUAGACCAUUAUAUGUUAUAUGAAUAGUAUUACGACAAACCGAGAAUUUUUUUCAGAAUUUUUGGUGAAGCAAACGAGGGCCGGCGGCCUCUGGGUGGCGGUCGCCCC